rnacentral:rRNA from 1 species
UUCGCAAUGCCCGAAAGGGUGACGAAGCGACGCCGCGUGCGGGAAGAAGGCCUUCGGGUUGUAAACCGCUGUCGGGAGUUAAGAAAUGCAAGGGUGUUAACAGCAUCCUUGCUUGACUAAGGCUCCGGAGGAAGCCACGGCUAACUCUGUGCCAGCAGCCGCGGUAAUACAGAGGCGGCAAGCGUUGUUCGGAAUUAUUGGGCGUAAAGAGCACGUAGGCGGCCGUGUAAGUCGGUUGUGAAAGCCUUCCGCUCAACGGAAGAACGGCAUCCGAUACUGCAUGGCUUGAGUGCGGGAGGGGAGAGUGGAACUUCUGGUGGAGCGGUGAAAUGCGUAGAUAUCAGAAGGAACGCCGGCGGCGAAAGCGACUCUCUGGCCCGUAACUGACGCUGAGUGUGCGAAAGCUAGGGGAGCAAACGGGAUUAGAUACCCCGGUAGUCCUAGCCGUAAACGAUGGGCACUAAGUAGAGGGGUUUU